rnacentral:lncRNA from 1 species
GUCAUAUUCCAAGCAGAUCUACACCCUGGCUGCUCAGCAGUGGUAAGAAAUAAGCAGUCAGGCAUUUGAAAGAACAUGCAAAAGUCAGCUGAACAGGUGCUGCUGGUCAGUCUCCUGUUCAGCUGUAACGCGGCCUUGCUUAAGAGGUGACCCUCCCACCUCCAAGUGUCUUUACAAUUCUGUGAAAAAAUGUUUUCUAUUUUAGCUGUCAGCGUUUUCCUUCAGUAGAGCAGAAAUAAUUACUAAUUUUAUAGUAUUUUUUAAAGCAACACAAAAGUAUAAGCAGGUAACUCCAGGAAUCUCAAGCAGCCUUGGCCCAAGUUUACCUACUACUUACCUGAGCAUUCUUAAAUCUAAUGUGACUUCAAGGCUCGUACUACUAGUCUGCAUUACAAUGAAAACUUGCUUUGACAUCAUUAGGAAAAAAAAGAAUUUCCAACAUACCAGCAGGCACUGUGUGACCUUCCUUGGUCCCUCAGGAACCAGCACAUUGCAGGUGCCCACUUCUCCCAUCCUCGGUGCUCUUACAAGAGCUGAACCCCCCCCCUGUGCCAGCAAAGGGCUGCACGCUCAGUUCACAUCAUUCUCAAACCUACCUUCCGUCCCAGGGUGCUUCCUUACGUACAGCCAUCCUCUUGUUGCUCUACUGAGUCAAGGGCGGUAGAGUUUGAAGCACAGUUGCUACAAAGGAGUAAAAAUGUAAAGGGAAAAAUACAUUUGAGCCAGGCUCAGCCCUUCAGUUGCUGAAGAACUACACCUGUGGACUCAUAGCUGGUGCUGCUCAAGUUCAGCAUCAAUUGGGCACUGCUGUGAAAAGCAAUGAGGGCACUACCACUGUUGUUUAUCCCAGCAGAAACAUUCUGACUUGUGGAAGCAAUUCCAAAAGAGGGGAAAGCUGUUUGUUAGUUAAGUACCUAUCUUGAUAGAUUUACACUUGAAAGCAGCAGUUAAAUGCUUUGACUCAGCCCUCUGUACAUAUCAAUGCCACUGAGUGAAAACUGAAAUGAAAUCCCAUUUGGCUGUGACUAAAGCUGUCAGUAACAACACUUACAACAUGCCAUGGCCCUGAAGCAAUGCAACGAGAGAUGAGGAACGGUAUUUCCUGUCUCAUUUACAGCCAGGGUUGGUCUCUGUUUUGCAUUAAAACAAAGUCCUCUGGCAUGGUGUUUCCCAACAAUGCGGAUGAAUGUUUAAAACAAACCAGACUCACAUUAUCCGACAUGUGAGAAAUGCAGACCACGCCAGUGCGCAGUGCUGCAGUAAUCCACAGUUGCAUUUUAAGAUAAUCUCUGUUAAUGAUGAAAUAUAAAUGAAAUGAUUUUCUGAACUGAGGGAACAUCUUAACCUUUUUCCUUUCUCUUUGCCAAAACACAGCCUGUGCUUCCCAGCCUUUCCAAAACCAACGCUACCCAGCCCUGUGCUCUCCGUGUGGUGCUGCCCAAGUUAAACAACAUCAGCUGUGCGGUGUCUGGCAGUAGUAACAGGGAGGGAACACUUAAGUACAUAAACAAAAGGCAGAACUCCACUGACCAAUGACUCCUAUCAGAACCAUGAAAACGGAUCACGGUGCCCUCAGCACUGCGGCAGGCCUGGACCCGGGAAUAAAUGCUCCUCGUUAACUAAUUCUCCAAUGGAAAGAGAGGGCGUCCCACUACUAAAUGAAACAUCUUUUAUUCAGGAGCAUCAUAAUUUUAACUUCACAAAUCAUGACAGGAAGGCAAAUAAGAAGAGACUGCCAGAGCAUCUUUUAAACUGGUGAAGGUAAACAUUUUCUUUCUGAACGCUUCUAAUUCGAGAAAGAAGUUGCGUAGGCCUUCCACAGGUGUGCACUACAGAAAUCUGAAGUACAUGCACUACAUUACAAUGCCGAGUGUAUACGUUGGCUACUUCAAAGGGAAAAUAAUCACUUGCAAGUCCAGGACGGCUAUCGGAACACCCUACAAAAUAAGGCUUAGGAGUACUUAGUUUUCAGUCCUGUGAAAUGUAACUAUAACUAAAUAUAACUAAAAUGUAAAUACAUAACUAUCAGAAAAAUAAAAUGACACCUCUGAAUGUCGUUCUGAAAUCUCUUGCUGAUGGGAUCUUAAAUAAGAGACUGUUUAAUGUUUGUCUCUCCCAAGUUACUUUGGAAAAGAAGCAGUGGUGAUGGUAUCUGGGGACUCAGCAUCAGCACAGACAUUUAUCAGAGCACAAGUGGAAUGGUCUCAGUAUGCACAACCAACCAACCAACCAUGCAGACAGAAAAAACCUUCAAUGAGUUACAAGCACGAAGUUACUCAGAUGUCCUAAGAGAAUGACUACAGCAUCUCUGCAGCUGCAGCAGUGGUGCCAUCAAACCCAUGAGAGCUCUGCUCUUCUAGCAGGGGCGGCACCUCACAAAGAAGUUUCCCGUGGCUGUUUUCAGUGAGCGUGUGCCUUCUUCUUUGGUGCAUCGCAGUCAAAGGUUCUGGGAAAAAAUGUUCCAUGUGUUUAAUUCUGCACUUAGAGUGGUCUUUGUGAUGAUGUUGGCUGCACCAACAGCUCUAGUUACCUAUCAGACUAACCUAAAACAAGAGCAGAACCAUGAUGGGCAUACUGCCAGCAGGUGACCAUACCUGGUGGUGGUAUUCAGUGCUUACCACAACUGCAUCACUGUGGUGUUAUUACAGAGAAACGCUGACUAUAGCUGAAAAUAAGAUGUUUCUUUAAAAAAAAAAACUGUCAGUUACGAAACUGAGCUCAUUUAGUCCACAUUUUUCUUAAAAAAAUGGUAUUUAAAUCACUCAUGACAUGAAUCUUUCUGAAUCUUUCUAACGUGCAAAAAAAGAAAAGGUACAUUCAAGCAGACAAAUAACAUUCAUGAGGAAAAGAAGGCUGCACGUCACUACACAGGGUUCUGAAGUUCAGCAUGGAAAGAUCUACCAAGUGUUACAUCCAGUGAGCCACGUCUCCGUGCGCACACACCUCUGUAUGGCCUUGAGUUACUCAAGAGCUUUUAAUAUCUAGCAAAAAAUAAAGCAUUAUAAAAUGCACGACACUCAACAACAGAUAUAAGCGACACUUUCACCUAAGAUGUAUCAGUGUAAUAGGUGUAAAGCAACAGUCAUCCUAUCAAGAAAGCAGAUAAAAGAAACAACCAUAAUCAGCACUAUAUCGAGGCAGGGCCCCAUGCCAGGGGGUGAGAAACAGAGAGGUUUCUUUGCAGAGUGCUGUUAGAGCAGCACUGAGCAGAUCUCAGCACAUCUUACAUCUGUUUGCUGUCACUCCUCUCGAAAACACCUUCACUUGUAACAAAGGCAAACUAAAAAGCAAUGAAGGUUUAAGAAAUUUAAGAAUCCACAUUCUUUGUGUCACAGUGGUUAUCUUACAAAGCAAGAUCAAGCUGCAGGAUUGUUUACUCCUUUAUUUUACAAAACAAGUUACAUCCCAUUUCAUUCAUUUCAUUAAUAAAGUUCUUGUUUCAGUGUAGUAAUUUACUAAAUCGUUACUUGAACAUCAGAAAAUCAUCAUUCAUCUGAAAAGGCUUCUCAUCUCCUCCCACGAGGAACCAUUCAAAGCGAUCACCUGUGCCACAAGCGAAAGAAAUGAAGGUACAGCUCUGCCUGACCAAGGACUGAGGGGCUCUGACACCACAGCAGCAGCAGGCAGGGGCAGCUCGGGAGGCUCAGACCCACUGCAGCAGCCGCACCCGACUCACAGCCUGGCAUUUCUGCACAUCAGUGCAUCAGCAGCAGUUUGAUUUUGAAGGUGGGGCUGUGAACUGGGGCUCCUCAGACACAGACCGGGGGGUGGGGGGAUUUAGCAAAACAUGUAACCAAACGCAUCGGCAUGACAACAGCCAAAGAACAUCACACAGCAAGACCAAAAGCACCUGGCUGGGAGCGACCGGAGACCUGUGAAACUUCUGAAGUAGGAACAAACAGAACAGUGAGGACACGCCGGGUUAGUGCCAACAACGUCCUUGAGAAGGUAUUGCUACUUCUCGUAAGAGCAGGAAAUUCACACCACAAGUGCCAGAAACAUGCUCUUAAAUCAGCAUCCCAAAGAGCGCUGUCAAUGCGUCAUUCAUACGUCAAAGUGAGUUACCCCGUGACUGUUGGAACGGAACGACUGCCAUUAAGUGACGUCACAUUUCAAGUGCAAAACAUUUUUGGCAAAAGUGAAAAAUAGAAAACCUUAACCAGUACUAAUAAAAAAGUGGUUUUUAAAUACUAGCACAGGGCCUGAUCCUGCAAGCACGCAACUCAGGAACCCCAGCUGAUGGCAGCCAGAGUUCUGUGCCCUAAUGUUUAAAGGAUAAGGUCUUUAAAUCACCAUUAGUGUUUAUACUUUGUUUAUGUGUAGUGUAAGUAACACCCACACACAAACACACAUGCAUACUGUGUGUUUAUAUGUGCGUAUAUCGUACACGUGAGUGUGUCUGUGUAUCCAUACACACCAAAUGGCUCCUGAAUCACCUUGAGCUUGUGGUUAUUUGAGAUGCACUGUUCACAGUAUAUAGCUUCUCAUUCGUAUCUUCUGAUAACGAGACCUACUCAGAGACAUUUUACAAGUUAUAUACUGUAUCUUUAUAAUGCCUUUAAGGUAAAGUUAUAAGACAACUGCUGUAUCUUGUCAAAGGCUCUUCCAGAGAGGAUUCAAGUAUUGCCAACCAUCUCCCUCUUUGGCAAAAUAUUUUGGCUUCCAUGGGGUUGUAAGAGCCGCACGCUGCCUCUCCUCUGCUCGCUGUCUCUCUUCAAGGUGGUGUUUGUGUUCCGUUGCUGCAUCGAUGUUGCCUUCCUUCAGAGAAUUGGUGACGUGCUGCCAGAGGUGCCUUGAUUCCAGCGGGCCUUGUUUUGCUAUUGGUCUAAUCUUCUUCUUGGUAACAGGCAGUUUGCUAGUGUCAAUCACUUUGGUUUCUCCAUUGCUGUAAGUGAAUUCCAGCGUGCCAUUCCAUUCUCCCUGUGCCUUGCAUACAAUGGUAUUAGUGGGAUUAUGUUUCACUUCAGCUGUAACCCUGUGGACCUUCCCUCCAUAGAAGGGCUUGGUGUGGAAUGUGACUGUAGCAGAGUAGCCAGUCCUGGCACAAUUGAUGUUGACUUUGCCUCCGAGCUCCACCCACGGGAUGGUAAGUAUCGAGCGAGCGUAGGCACUGGGCAGCGUGAAAACAUAUUCUUCUUCAUGCUCCAGCAAGUACAGAACACCUUCACCUACCAUAGAAACACC